rnacentral:rRNA from 1 species
UAAGUUUGAUGGCGACCGGCGCACGGGUGAGUAACACGUAUCCAACCUGCCGAUGACUCGGGGAUAGCCUUUCGAAAGAAAGAUUAAUACCCGAUGGCAUAGUUCUUCCGCAUGGUGGAACUAUUAAAGAAUUUCGGUCAUCGAUGGGGAUGCGUUCCAUUAGGUUGUUGGCGGGGUAACGGCCCACCAAGCCUUCGAUGGAUAGGGGUUCUGAGAGGAAGGUCCCCCACAUUGGAACUGAGACACGGUCCAAACUCCUACGGGAGGCAGCAGUGAGGAAUAUUGGUCAAUGGACGAGAGUCUGAACCAGCCAAGUAGCGUGAAGGAUGACUGCCCUAUGGGUUGUAAACUUCUUUUAUAAAGGAAUAAAGUCGGGUAUGUAUACCCGUUUGCAUGUACUUUAUGAAUAAGGAUCGGCUAACUCCGUGCCAGCAGCCGCGGUAAUACGGAGGAUCCGAGCGUUAUCCGGAUUUAUUGGGUUUAAAGGGAGCGUAGAUGGAUGUUUAAGUCAGUUGUGAAAGUUUGCGGCUCAACCGUAAAAUUGCAGUUGAUACUGGAUAUCUUGAGUGCAGUUGAGGCAGGCGGAAUUCGUGGUGUAGCGGUGAAAUGCUUAGAUAUCACGAAGAACUCCGAUUGCGAAGGCAGCCUGCUAAGCUGCAACUGACAUUGAGGCUCGAAAGUGUGGGUAUCAAACAGGAUUAGAUACCCUGGUAGUCCACACGGUAAACGAUGAAUACUCGCUGUUUGCGAUAUACAGUAAGCGGCCAAGCGAAAGCGUUAAGUAUUCCACCUGGGGAGUACGCCGGCAACGGUGAAACUCAAAGGAAUUGACGGGGGCCCGCACAAGCGGAGGAACAUGUGGUUUAAUUCGAUGAUACGCGAGGAACCUUACCCGGGCUUAAAUUGCAGAUGAAUUACGGUGAAAGCCGUAAGCCGCAAGGCAUCUGUGAAGGUGCUGCAUGGUUGUCGUCAGCUCGUGCCGUGAGGUGUCGGCUUAAGUGCCAUAACGAGCGCAACCCUUGUUGUCAGUUACUAACAGGUUCCGCUGAGGACUCUGACAAGACUGCCAUCGUAAGAUGUGAGGAAGGUGGGGAUGACGUCAAAUCAGCACGGCCCUUACGUCCGGGGCUACACA